GAUGUCUUUCUUAACUACCAAUGGCAGGAAUCAGUGUCAUUCAAGGACGUAACUGUAGACUUCAGUAGGGAUGCGUGGCAACAAUUAGACCUUGCUCAGAAAAGCCUGUACAGAGAAGUGAUGCUGGAAAACUAUUUCAACUUGAUCUCAGUGGAAUGUCAAGUUCCCAAACCAGAAGUCAUCUUCAGCUUGGAACAAGAAGAGCCAUGUAUGCUGGAUGGUGAGAUCUCUGGUCAGAGCCGUCCAGGUGAGAAGGGAACCAAGAGCAUGGCAGACAGUAUGACUCAGC